rnacentral:misc_RNA from 1 species
GAUGAAGAACGUAGUGAAAUGCGAUACGUAAUGUGAAUUGCAGAAUUCAGUGAAUCAUCGAAUCUUUGAACGCAUAUUGCGCUCUCUGGUAUUCCGGAGAGCAUGCUUGUUUGAGUAUCAGUAAACACCUCAACUUCCAUAUCUUUUUUGAAAUGGGAGUUGGACUUGAGUGAUCCCAACGCUUUUCCUCACCGAAAAGCGGCGGGUUACUUGAAAUGCAGGUGCAGCUGGACUUUUCUCUGAGCUAUAAGCAUAUCUAUUUAGUCUGCCUAAAAAACAGAUUAUUACCUUUGCUGCAGCUAACAUAAAGGAGAUUAGUUCUUGUGCUGACUGAUGCAGGAUUCACAAAGACAGGCUUCGGCCGACUUUGUAAACUCGAUCUCAAAUCAAGUAAGACUACCCGCUGAACUUAAGCAUAUCAAUAAGCGGAGGA